rnacentral:rRNA from 1 species
CCUACGGGCGGCAGCAGUGAGGAAUAUUGGUCAAUGGGCGCGAGCCUGAACCAGCCAAGUCGCGUGAGGGAUGAAGGUUCUAUGGAUCGUAAACCUCUUUUAUAAGGGAAUAAAGUGAGGGACGUGUCCUAUUUUGUAUGUACCUUAUGAAUAAGGAUCGGCUAACUCCGUGCCAGCAGCCGCGGUAAUACGGAGGAUCCGAGCGUUAUCCGGAUUUAUUGGGUUUAAAGGGUGCGUAGGCGGGCUGUUAAGUCAGCGGUGAAAGUCUGUGGCUCAACCAUAGAAUUGCCGUUGAUACUGGGGGGCUUGAGUAGGUUUGAGGCAGGCGGAAUGCGUGGUGUAGCGGUGAAAUGCUUAGAUAUCACGAAGAACCCCGAUUGCGAAGGCAGCCUGCCAAGCCAUGACUGACGCUGAUGCACGAAAGCGUGGGGAUCAAACAGGAUUAGAUACCCCGGUAGUC